ACCAUGAGACCAUGACCUGAGCUGAAGCUGAACACUUACCCGACUGAACCACCCAGGCACCUUUGAGAAAAGAGAAAAGAAGAUGCAACCUCAUUAUGGUGGUAACUCUGCAGGCAGAGAAUAUAUCAGCAAAGGCAAGCUUAAGCCUGGCUGUAAGACGAGGCAACUGUGUCUAGUUUCCCUGGAGUGUGAAAGUCACAGACUGUAGCGGACUCUAACAUCUGGAAAACUCAGCCAAGCACCAAAGUUAAGUAUGUGCCAAGUUCUGACCCAGUUAAAAGACUAAACCUGAGCUGGCUGUAUGUAAGAAGUGUUCUGCUGAAGCUCAAGGAUAAUGUCAAGAUCAUAACAAUUAGUGAUUAGUGAGUAAAGAAGCUAAGAAAUUUAGGUGUUUGUUUCUUUAAAAGUACUUAAUAUUUUCACUGUAAUGUUGUAAUCAAUCAAGAGUUUCACUUUUCUGGGGAAAAAAACCCCACAGAGAAUAAUUUAGUUGGAAAAUGUGCUAAUCUCUUAAUAAAUCACAUCUCUAAGACUAA